CCUCAAAACUGCAACCUAUCUUAUAAAUAGAAAUCCAUCAAGUGCUAUUAACUUUCAAAUACCAGAAAAAUUGUGGUCAUGAACUAUACCAGAGUACAGAAAAUUAAGAGUAUUUGACUGUGCUGCUUAUGCUCAUCAAAAUGAGGGAAAAUUGGAACCUAGAUCGCAAAAAUGUGUCUUUAUUGGUUAUGGAGAGGAAACCAAAGGAUAUAUACUUUGGGUUAAGGAACAGAAUGAUUUCAAAGUUAUUAUAAGUAGAAAUAUCAUAUUCAAUGAAAAGGAUAUGCCAUGCUUAAAUUCAUCUAGACCAAAAUCAAAUGAAUCUACAAUCAUAAAAGAAACUGUUCUGAAAAAUCAAAUUGAUAGCCCCAUUGAUCAGAUUGAGGUGGAGACCACUCAAUCUGAAACUAAAAGUGAUCUACCUGAACCUGUGUUUGAAUCUGAAAAUACAUCUCUUACUGAUUAUCAACUAACAAGAGAUAGGGAGAGGAGAAAUAGAAUACCCUCUACCAGAUUUAAUACUGAUGAAUUUGUCACCUUAUUUUCUGGUCUAGAUUCUUUGAAUUUAGAACCAAACACCUAUGAAGAAGCUGUUAGUUGUCCUGAUUCAAAUUUCUGGAAGGAAGCUAUGGAUGAUGAAAUGAAUUCUCUGAUAAAAAAUGAAACUUGGGUUGGUAAAUAAACCAAAAGACAAAAGGAUAGUUGAUUGUAAGUGGAUCUUCAAAAUAAAACAAGGAGACUCUAACUCAGAAAAUAAGAGGUAUAAAGCUAGAUUAGUAGCAAAAGGCUUUACCCAAAAAGAAGGUGUAGAUUACAAUGAAAUUUUCUCUCCAGUUGCUAAAUACACCCCAAUCAGAAUUCAUCUUGCAUAAACUGCACAUUUUAACUGGGAAUUAGAACAAUUGGAUGUCAAGAAAGCUUUUCUCAAUGGAGAACUUGAUGAAG
rnacentral:lncRNA from 1 species